rnacentral:tmRNA from 1 species
GGGGGCGUACUGGUUUCGACGGGGGUGUGGAGACCGGAUAAGCGGGCGGUGGCGCCUGACCACCAUACAACGGGCAAAUUAAAAUUAACUGACAACACGAAUACUGUUGCCGUCGCUGCUUAACGCAGCGACCGUCUGAACCGGAGCGGCCACCGGCCGGGGAAGGCGUCGUUUAGGUGGCGUCCGUGAGGCGGGUAAGAGUUGCCCCGCCCACGCAUCAUGACUCUACUGAACCGCAAAGUCUGUCCGGUGUCUUUGCGGGGAGGGAAUGUUGAAACCUGACUGCGCCCGGAGAAAGUCCUGUUAAAGCGCUUUCGGACAGGGGUUCGACUCCCCUCGCCUCCACCA